rnacentral:rRNA from 1 species
UACGUAGGGGGGCGAGCGUUUGUCCGGAUUUAUUGGGGCGUAAAAAGGCUUGUAGGUGGCCACGUCAAGUCGGAUGUGAAAAUCUCCCCGGCUCAACUGGGAGGGGGUCAUUCGAUACUGGCGGGCUCGAGGCCGGUAGGGGGGAAGCGGAAUUCCCCGGUGUAGCGGUGAAAAUGCGUAGAGACCGGGGAAGAACACCAGUGGCGAAGGCGGCUACCUGGACAGGUACUG